AUGCAUCUUUCAUGCAAAUCAUUCUCUUUGAUUCUUCUCUUUGUUUACUUGCUUUUUGUUGGUUCUUGCACUUCUACAAGGAUAGGAUUUACAACUAUGAAGAUGAAGAUGAAGAUGAAUGACCAACCACUUCGGCGAAAGCAUAACUUGGGUUUGGUUUUCAACUUCUUCCCGAAAGGAAUGCGAAUACCGCCUUCAGGUCCUUCAAUGAGGCAUAACUCAGAGGUGGAUUCAACAACUAAGAAUUGA